GAUGAACGCUAGCGGCAGGCUUAAUACAUGCAAGUCGAGGGGCAGCACGGUUAGCAAUAACUGGUGGCGACCGGCGCACGGGUGCGUAACACGUAUACAAUCUACCUUAACAGGGGAUAGCCUUUCGAAAGAGAGAUUAAUACCCCGUAAUAAAUUGAACGGCAUCGUUUGAUUUUGAAAGCUCCGGCGGUUUGAGAUGAGUAUGCGUCUGAUUAGCUAGUUGGUGAGGUAACGGCUCACCAAGGCGACGAUCAGUAGGGGAUCUGAGAGGACUAACCCCCACACUGGUACUGAGACACGGACCAGACUCCUACGGGAGCAGCAGUAAGGAAUAUUGGUCAAUGGAGGCAACUCUGAACCAGCCAUGCCGCGUGCAGGAUGACGGCCCUAUGGGUUGUAAACUGCUUUUAUACAAGAGAAAACCCUGGUACGUGUACCAGGUUGAUAGUAUUGUAAGAAUAAGCAUCGGCUAACUUCGUGCCAGCA
rnacentral:rRNA from 1 species